GGAUACGUGGUCUAGUUGGUAAGACACUCGGAACCAGUCAGACCCUUGUUGGCAUGGACUCACGGGUUGCUUCUUCUGGUUUCGUGCCAAAGUCGCACCCGCAGGUUUCUCCGAGUGACGUGCGUUCGAAUCGCACCGUAUCCA